rnacentral:rRNA from 1 species
UCCUUGUGGCUCUUGGCGAACCAGGACUUUUACUUUGAAAAAAUUAGAGUGUUCAAAGCAGGCGUAUUGCUCGAAUAUAUUAGCAUGGAAUAAUAGAAUAGGACGUUUGGUUCUAUUUUGUUGGUUUCUAGGACCAUCGUAAUGAUUAAUAGGGACGGUCGGGGGCAUCAGUAUUCAAUUGUCAGAGGUGAAAUUCUUGGAUUUAUUGAAGACUAACUACUGCGAAAGCAUUUGCCAAGGACGUUUUCAUUAAUCAAGAACGAAAGUUAGGGGAUCGAAGAUGAUCAGAUACCGUCGUAGUCUUAACCAUAAACUAUGCCGACUAGGGAUCGGGUGGUGUUUUUUUAAUGACCCACUCGGCACCUUACGAGAAAUCAAAGUCUU